rfam:Triticum aestivum genome assembly, contig: Triticum_aestivum_CS42_TGACv1_scaffold_544321_6DS
UGGCGAUGAUGAUAAAAUUUAGGCUUGUUUCUUGAAACAUUCGCAGUUGCCGCCUAAGAGCUUUCGCCCUGCCAGGCUUGAGAGCUAAUGCUGCUAAUUCCUUCCUUGGAUGUCUGAGCCA